ACUUGGUCCUCCAAAGCACAUGGUUUAGGACUCUGAAAAAUCUUAUCCAGAUGAGUCUCCCAGAGAAAGCAGCUUGAUUCAGGAGGCUUGUGUAGUUCUGCACGGAGUAAACAGCUACAGGUUGUCUCGGCUUAUAGAAGAUCUGGGGACAUUAACUACUGCUGAAACUACAGGAAGACAAUGUCCAGUGUAAUUAGUAUGUCUGCGUGCUGCUGAAAACUGGUGGUAGCCAUAUUUUUUGGAGAAUGAGGUCCAGUGUAAGAACAGUAAUGUAUUACAAAUUACUUGUCUGAUGUCCUGUCUCCCGCAUGAACUCUUGCCAAAGUGAGGAGACAACUCUCGAGAGGUCAGGUGACUGUUGCACAAGCAUGCAUGAAGACACGUUAGACUAUUUUUUUUCCAUCUGCUCAUUAUGCUGAUAACUGUAGAACUUAUGUAAUGCAAGUAACACCACAAUUGUUUGAUUUGUAAAUGUAAUGUGAUUGCUGAACAUAGGAACAGUACCAUGUUAAAUUACUGCAUUACAGUAACUUGUUACUUUCUAAUGAUGACAUCCUGAGCAGUAAUUUUACUGUAAUUAACAGUGAUUUUACAUUACUUUAUUUGCAUUUUAUGUCAUCUGUUUACUGUAAGUUCUACAGUCAGGUCUUUACAGUGUUAGGUGUGAGUUUGGUUGUUUGUGUGUUAGCCUUGUAAUGGACCAACAACCUGUCCAAUGUGUUUCUCUGCCUUCUGCACAGUUCUUGCUGAGAUAGGCUGCAGCCCCACGUGACUCUGAAUAGGAAUAAACAGAUAUGGGAAAUGGAUAAAUGAAGUAGUUUUGCUCUACAGAAAAGUUAUCAUAAUUUAACAGACUUGCAUGUAUUUUUAAAUAACAAAUGAAAUCUCUCCACGAGGAUUUUAGGUGUAAAUUUCAGGCGUGUAUGGGGGAAAUUAUGUGGUCUCAUUUGAAUUACUUAAUACGAAAAUGAAAUAAUGUAUUAAAAGUAUUAGAGAAUGAAUAACAGACUUGAA